CCCCGGAGAGGCGGCUCCCGGAGGUGUUCUAGGGACACAUCACAAUGGCUGGGCGCAGCGCUCAGCGGCUCAGGUGUGCUGCACCUGGAGAGGAGCCAGGCGCCCCGGAGACCCUGUCCCAGGUCCUGCGCUCCGACCUCGCGACCCCCGGCGCACAGCUGGCCCCCAUGGGCAGCCUACUGUGCAGGUUUCUUCGCCCUCCCCGCCGCCGGCCCCUGCCCGGCCGCAGUCGCCCGCUGCUCACUCCUGCCUGGGACACCGCCCAUCCUGGCCGCCACCACCCCGCCGUUCCUGCCCCUGCCCCCUGCUCCGGGCGCAGGCCACUCCACCGGGAUCGCAGGCCCCUGCCAGCUCGCUGCCACGUGGAGCCCAGGAGGCGGGACCCGCUCCCUCAGGCCGCGUGCCCCCCUCUGGGCCUCCUCCCCGUGGUCAACUGGAGGAACCCUCCGGGUCAACCUGUGCUGGCUGCGCGCAGCUCCCUGGGCUGCGGGCCCUCGAGGACUGUGAGGAUCCCUGCUCUGGGGCGCAGGUUCAGGCUCCUGCAUUCACUACCUGCACAGGAAGCCAAGGCUGCGGGUCAGAUACCACCAGAGACCCAGGCACCGGGGGCCCACCUGCCCAGCAUGUAAGUGGUGGGAAGGCAGGGAACAACAUCACUCCCAAGACCGGAAGACCUGGAAUUCCUGCUUUGUGUCAGCAUACUGGGGGCCCACCUGAUGCAAACACAGAUGAAAACAUCAUUGUGUCUAUGAUGGCAGCCCUCUGUAUCAGCAACCGCCCUCAGAACCCUGGGGGCCUACCUGUGUCUAAGGCACCUGGUGCUACCGGGAACAGCACCGUACCUACUGCGACUGGCCAUCCUAAUGCUCCCCCAUUGCUACAGAGCACACAGAACCCCCGCAAGCCACAGCACUGAUGGUGCAAUGGCGGAUACCGCCAUGCCUUUUAGAGAGAAAUCUCUACUCUUGGAACAUGUGGACCUGCCCCUAGUCCGGGCAGCCCUCUGACCUUGGUGAGCCAGCACUGUGUGUGCAAGUUCUUGGUCCACUGUUCUGUGCUCUGCGCAUGGCUAGGGUACCUUCAUAGCCUGUCUAGGAGCCGCCACCAACUGGUUCCGUUCUUUUGUCAUGUUUCUCAACCUCUACGGCACAGAUAUUCCCCCACAUAUUCUGUGUCAUAGUAAAUGGAUUUUGCUGUAUCAGAGCCUCAAUGGGCUCUUAUUUCCCAGAUUNCGUAGAUAUACUUCUACAUCUAUAAAACUUUGUUCUUACUAACCUGCCUUUGCUCGUGUGUCUUUUUGUCUCGGCAGUAGAGAAAGAAUUAACCUAUGUGAGUGUGGUGGGUUGAACCAGACUGUGUGCCAAAUUCUCUGGGUCUCAGUGAUUGGAAUGUGGAAGUAGCCACAGGUUCUGGCUGCACGCACAGACCUCUGAAAUCUGCAUUUUGAGUGUAAGGGAUGGGAAUCCAGGAGGAAGGAAGGUCCAAAGGAGGGAGAGAAGAGGUGACUCGUCCUUGCCUCCACCCUUUGUGCUUCGCUCUCCUCUCCCCUGACUCUGACCUCAAUAGAGGUUGAAUAAUCCUUGGUGAGUGAAGGGAAACCACCCUAUGAUUGUAGUUUUUUAAAACUAUUUAAAUGUUUUCUUGGGUGCCUUCUUAGUUUAGACUUAGGCCAAUCUUUCUUACGUGUUCCCACUUCACCCAGAGAAGACAGAUUUGAGCCCGGAGAAACAAAUGGAAAAAGAGCACAUACAUGCCUGCUCUGUCUGUGUGUGUUAGAAAUUUCAGUUGCUUUAGAAUUUAUUGUGCUGCUUAAGUGCUCUAGAACAGGUCCUUUUCAAUAAUCAGCCCAGCUCUGAUCUAAAUCACUAAAAUAUCAAAUCACCUGUGUUACCAUUGUGCCCAGUUCUGGCUGACCCUAAACUUUCCUGGAUCUCCACUAGACUUAAUAAAGGCAAAAUUCCUGACCUUGUGGGUCUUACA
ensembl:lncRNA